rnacentral:rRNA from 1 species
UACGUAGGGCGCAAGCGUUAUCCGGAAUUAUUGGGCGUAAAGAGCUCGUAGGCGGUUUGUCGCGUCUGCCGUGAAAGUCCGGGGCUCAACCCCGAACUUGCAGUGGGUACGGGCAGACUAGAGUGUGGUAGGGGAGACUGGAAUUCCUGGUGUAGCGGUGAAAUGCGCAGAUAUCAGGAGGAACACCGAUGGCGAAGGCAGGUCUCUGGGCCACUACUGACGCUGAGAAGCGAAAGCGUGGGGAGCAAACAGG